ACUUGUGUAGGUGCCCAGUCGGGACCUGCGCGUGGUGAGGACGGUGGCAAGGCGGCCGGGUCUGUCCCUGUGGCCAUCGCUACCUUUGCCACCGUGGUGACUUCUCUGUUGAACCGGCUGCAAGACGCCGAGGGCAGCAGAGCGGAGACCUACCGCGAGCUGGAGAGCGUCUUGUGGGGCGACGAGAGCCAUCUGCAGAGCUCUGAGGUGGACAGAGUGAUAGCAGUGGCGUUGGAGGACCUGCGAGCGGCCCAGGGUGGGACGGCCUCCGUGAGGACGGCGGCUAGUGAUGUCCUGGUGGCGCUGGCCCGCUCCCACUUGUGCGACGUGGUGUCGGCGCUGCAGGGCCACCUGAAGGCCCUGGAGGAGACGUCGGAGGAGUUUGUCCUCAUCACCCUGCGCAACCUCGCCACAC